rnacentral:rRNA from 2 species
UACGGAGGGUGCGAGCGUUAUCCGGAUUUACUGGGUUUAAAGGGUGUGUAGGCGGGCUAUUAAGUCAGCGGUGAAAUCUUCGGGCUCAACCCGGAAACUGCCAUUGAUACUAUUAGUCUUGAAUACUGUGGAGGUAUGCGGAAUGUGUCAUGUAGCGGUGAAAUGCUUAGAGAUGACACAGAACACCGAUUGCGAAGGCAGCGUACUACACAGUGAUUGACGCUGAGGCACGAAAGCGUGGGGAUCAAACAGG